rnacentral:rRNA from 1 species
CAAUAUACAAGGUGCUGCAGUGGUUGUCGUCAGCUCGUGCCGUGAGGUGUCGGGUUAAGUCCCAUAACGAGCGCAACCCCUAUCAUUAGUUGCCAUCAGGUCAAGCUGGGGACUCUAAUGAAACUGCCUACGCAAGUAGUGAGGAAGGUGGGGAUGACGUCAAAUCAGCACGGCCCUUACGUCCAGGGCUACACACGUGCUACAAUGGCCGGUACAAAGGGUUGCCAAGCCGCGAGGUGGAGCUAAUCCCAUAAAACCGAUCGUAGUCCGGAUCGCAGUCUGCAACUCGACUGCGUGAAGUCGGAAUCGCUAGUAAUCGUGAAUCAGAAUGUCACGGUGAAUACGUUCCCGGGCCUU